rnacentral:misc_RNA from 1 species
UAAAACCCAACCUAGGCUUUUGAUGUCUACGGCCAGUAGUCGUUCUAAGUCUAUUGGGAAAGCACGUUUACCGGAGCCCAAGUCUAAGAACAAAGACAGUGCUAGAGAUUUAUUAGACAAGGAUAGUAAUAACAAGUCCAUGUGGAGUUGGAAGAGCUUAAAGUCAUUAACUCAUGUUAAAAAUCAAAGGUUCAAUUGCUCUUUUUCGCUUCAAGUCCAUUGCAUUGAAGGGAUACCUGCAUUUUUUAAUGACCUUAGUCUUGUCGUGCAUUGGAGGAGGCGACAUGCUGAGUUGAUGACAUGUCCUGUGUUGGUUUCUCAAGGUGUAGCUCACUUUGAGGAAGAUUUGAGCUAUACAUGUUCUAUAUAUGGCAGUAG